rnacentral:rRNA from 1 species
UACGUAGGGUGCAAGCGUUGUCCGGAAUCAUUGGGCGUAAAGCGCGUGUAGGCGGUUCGGUAAGUCCGCUGUGAAAGUCGGGGGCUCAACCCUCGAAAGCCGGUGGAUACUGUCGGGCUAGAGUACGGAAGAGGCGAGUGGAAUUCCUGGUGUAGCGGUGAAAUGCGCAGAUAUCAGGAGGAACACCAAUUGCGAAGGCAGCUCGCUGGGACGUUACUGACGCUGAGACGCGAAAGCGUGGGGAGCAAACAGG